AUAAUUACAUGUUCAUAAAAGUACAUUUAAAAUUGGACUCGCGCGCAAAACAAAAGAGUAUCUAGAGUUUAAUCCGUCACUUCAUGCUCUGUGAUUCGAAUUAGUUCUCUCGACGUAAUUUAGGACCAAAUUACAAGUAUAUAAACAUAAAAUUCGGCAUAAAAAAUGUUAAACGCGUUGAGAUAUGCCACGAUGUUUCAGUCCGUUCGCGCAAUUUUCAACUCAACGAUGAAUCGAUUAGGAGUUUAUGCGUCGACAAAGAGGUUCAAAGUUUAGUCGUAUAGUUCGUGGAACGGAUCAGAGCAAACGAGAAGUCGUUAACUGCACGAAGUUCGAUGUAAAAACGCCGGUGAACGUUCUUCCGAUAGAUUUUAAAUCGCAAAAUAUUCAACGUGUCAAUAUUGUGUAGAAGUUAUGUAUUUGCCGUUUUAACUCAAAAGCGUAAUUUUUUAAAUCAUCGAUACGUAUUAAGUUUUUUAAAAAGAAUUUCGUAUCGUUCUUUGCAACUGAUUUACAGCCUUCGACCGAGAAUACAAUUUUCUUUCAACCGAGACCUUGCUCGAAGAUCGGUUUCUUUCGCACGAACGAUCAAUUAAACGCAAUUGGAUCAUUACGACACUUUAGUAGAUACAAUAGGUAUUAACGCGCUUUAGAAAUGGUUUUUAUUGAUGGCGUUCAAACGACAAUUUUUUCAUGAUUUUUUACGAGAAUAAAUAGAGACAAAGUGUAGAAUAGAAUUAACAUUUAUAAAUAACGACUAAUUCAUUAAAAAGAUUAAAGAGACACGUUGAUGUGAUGCCAGACAGUGAAAUAACCCACUGGUAAACGGCUGUCUACUAAGCACCACUGUCUACGAACGUCCGCGUUAGCAUAUCGCGUUACCAGUUCGACGGAUUUUGCAACUUAAUUCCCAGUUUGUCAUUGACCGAGCACGAAUGCUUCUUUAACCGGUCUUAAUUAUUUAUAAUCGUAAAGUCAUUUGUUUCCAGUAUAUGGAGCAAUUGUACCGUUAUAGGAUCAUAAUAAAAUAUCGAUCGUGAUUUAUUUGAAACCUUUUCGUAAAUGUCAACCGUUAGCCCAUUGGUAAUUACCGUGAAGCCGUGGAAAAUAAUAGUAUAACAAUAUUUGUAUGUAAAUGUUAUUGCCAACAAACGAAAAUUCAUGCGUCAUAGAGACAUUUACACCUAAUUAAGAGAACCGUAAUAAUUAUCACGCACCGUUCCUUAAUGCGAUAUUAGAAAAUUAUUCCUUAUUUUUUACCGAACGAUCUAAAAAAAUACAGUUUUAACAAUGCAUCGUACACGUACGUCUUUGUUAUUGCAUCACGCAGCGCACAAACAACCGAAGCCAAAAAUUUCGGUCGUCUUGACUAUUUUUAAUCUUAAUUCUUAUUUUAAGUAUGCUUUGUGUUAUAAACAAAAUAUAAUCGGUAUAAAGUGGAAUAAACAUGUGGAUAAACGAGGCUACCUGUUGGGAGCAACGAAACGGUCAGCAAUUUUUACCUACCGUGGGACACGAUCCACAGACGAGUAAUGGUAACAGUCCAUUGCAGCAACAAAUGCAAACCGGUGGCUGGAUUGGAAUUCCAGAAUCAACUUUGGUCCAACGAUCGAUCAGAAACAACGACAACAGCAACGGUUGGAACCACCCAAUCACAUCGCCGUUUCAACAUUCUCAACAACAACAACAACAGUUACACGAACGGAAGCAGAAGGAAGUUAAAUCUGGGGAGUUGGGAGAUGAUGAAGAUGGGGGUGGAGGGGGUGGAGGGUUGGAGGGGACGGACCCAGAGGAGGACAACUCUGUUCACCUCAAGAGACGGGUGGGACUCGUCAGUGGGGUGGCUCUAAUCGUUGGUACCAUGAUAGGUUCUGGGAUAUUCGUUUCGCCGUCAGGGCUUUUAGUUCGGACUGGCAGUAUCGGAAUCAGCUUCCUGGUAUGGACGGCCUGCGGUAUGUUAAGUCUGUGUGGUGCGUUGGCAUACGCUGAGUUGGGCACAAUGAAUACGAGUAGCGGCGCCGAGUACGCUUAUUUCAUGGACGCGUUCGGUGCACCGCCUGCUUUCCUCUUCUCAUGGGUUUCGACAUUGAUCCUAAAGCCAUCUCAGAUGGCGAUCAUAUGUCUCUCGUUCGCGCAGUACGCGGUGGAAGCCUUCGCGGCCGACUGCGAUCCUCCCGAAGAAGUCGUUAAGGUCGUGGCGCUCCUCGCUAUUAUACUUAUACUGCUUGUGAACUGCUACAGCGUUAAUCUGGCCACUGGGGUACAAAACGCGUUUACCGCUGCCAAAUUGAUCGCCAUACUGGUCGUGAUAGCCGGUGGCUCGUACAAAUUGAUACAGGGUAACACGCAGCAUCUGAAAGGCGCGUUCGACACGAUGGACGGAAGCACCGUUAACGUCGGUAGAUUAGCUACAGCUUUUUACACCGGCCUAUGGGCGUACGACGGAUGGAACAAUCUUAAUUACGUUACCGAAGAGAUCAAAGACCCUUCAAAAAAUCUACCGCGUUCCAUCAUGAUUGGCAUACCCCUUGUCACGCUGUGUUACGCGUUAAUAAAUUUAUCAUAUCUAGCUGUGAUGUCCCCUUCGGAAAUGAUCGAAAGCGAAGCGGUCGCGGUGACUUUUGGAAAUCGGAUUCUCGGCGUUAUGGCGUGGCUUAUGCCGCUCUCUGUUGCGAUCAGCACCUUCGGUUCUGCAAACGGCACUCUUUUUGCAGCGGGUAGACUCUGCUUUGCCGCGUCUCGAGAAGGUCAUUUACUUGAUUGCCUCAGUUACGUACACGUGCGCCGUUUUACUCCUGCGCCAGGACUAAUUUUUCACUCCCUUGUUGCAGAUCUUCUACGGUGGAGCAAUGCUAGCUCUGUUGGUGAUGCGAAGGACCAGACCGAAUCAUCCUCGACCAUACAAAUGCCCGCUGAUAAUACCUGUACUUGUACUUGGAAUCUCAGCGUACCUGAUUGUAGCGCCAAUCAUCGAUAAACCACAAAUUGAAUACCUAUACGCGACUGGAUUCAUAUUUGCGGGCAUGUUUGUCUACCUCCCAUUCGUUAAAUAUGGAUACGUGCCCAAAUUUAUGGAAGGAGUGAAUGCCUUUCUCCAAAUGUUACUCGAGGUGGCACCGACGGCUGCAGCCUUUGAUUGACUUCGAUCGAAUAG
rnacentral:misc_RNA from 1 species